rnacentral:snRNA from 1 species
AUCGCUUCUCGGCCUUUUGGCUAAGAUCAAGUGUAAAAACUGUUUUCACUUUAUUUAAUGAAUGUGAAAAUUGUACUUUUGUUUAGUUGAAAAUAUUUAAAAAUUUCUC